CAUGGACUUUAUUUGGCUGUGACAGGAAACUUAAAAGAGUCCUCCUGUUCCUUUUUUGCUUGAAGCACUUUCAGACAUGAUGUGUUUUCAUGGCAUGUAAAAUGAAUGAAUUUAUGUGGAAGAAAGGAAAUAGUGAUUUCUAGGAUUUGAAAAGAAAAUGGCGUUUGUUUGACUUUUGGUGAUGAUUAAAGCUCCUUGGAUAACGAAAUCCCAAAUUGUAUAAAAUAUGAAAGCAAUUCAUUUUUCCAG
rnacentral:misc_RNA from 1 species